GAGCCCGGCGCGGCGCGGCACAGUAGUUCCCCUGGCGCUCGGCUCCCUCGCGUUAGACUUGCUGUGUUGUGAUCACGUGGGUAGCUCCGGGCGCGGCGCUUGUUUUGGUUUCCGUCUAACUUGCCCACCGCAGCUUCGGUGUGAACGACUUUCCUGCACUGGUUGACGCGCCUGCCCACACCCUGACCCGGUCUUCGGGCUCUCUCAGCCCGCAGUUUCGCAAGCUCUUGGGGCGGGCUCCUGCCAUGCCGCUGGUCCGCUACAGGAAGGUGGUCAUCCUCGGAUACCGCUCUGUAGGGAAAACAUCUCUGGCACAUCAAUUUGUGGAGGGCGAGUUCGUGGAAGGCUACGAUCCUACAGUGGAGAAUACUUACAGCAAGAUACUGACUCUUGGCAAAGAUGAGUUUCACCUACACCUGGUGGACACAGCAGGGCAGGUACCAGUUGGGGAUGAGUACAGCAUUCUGCCCUAUUCAUUCAUCAUUGGGGUCCAUGGUUAUGUGCUCGUGUAUUCUGUCACCUCUCUGCAUAGCUUCCAAGUCAUUGAGAGUCUGUACCAAAAGCUACACGAAGGCCAUGGGAAAACCCGGUAAGUGGCCCUGGGGGAUAGAGACAUAGUAUGGGCAAGUUAGAGAGGAGGCUGGGAUAUAGAUCUGGCCUGGUCUGAUGAGGAGUUGUCCAGCCUUGAUGUAAGGAGUUGGGGAAUGUGGGGAGUGAGAGGGGAUUCUGUAGUAACUGCUGUUUCCUCACAGGGUGCCAGUGGUUUUAGUUGGGAACAAGGCAGAUCUCUCUCCAGAGAGAGUCUCCUCUGU